AAAUUUGAGGGGUCAAAAUUAUGCCAUUAGUAAAAUCUAUUUAAAGCAAAUAAAAUGAAAUAAAUCCAUGAAUACAUUUAUAAUGAUAUGAAAAGGACCAUUCAUACUUCUCCAAAACCAACCUAUUUAUUUUAUAGAAUGGUUUACAAAUUUGUGGAGUUCCUGAGAAACUGAUAUCACAAGAGCAAAAGCCUGGCAAUCAAGUACAAACGAACCCUUUGGUUGCUUUCAUAAUUUAAGACAAAACAAAGUAUAUAAUAACCAAAUAAUUGUAUUGAAUAAAAAAAAAAAGAGAGAUAUAAAUAAAAUAAUUAACCCAAACAAAUAAACAAACAAAAACAAAGCGAAUGAAAAGAAAAAACACAUAUUGUGUACCAAUUUUUAUAAAAAUAAAAAUAAAUAAAUAACUCUACUAUACAAACAAAAGAUAUUUACAGAUAUUAAAUAAUAAUCUUUGGUCUGACAAUGAUCAGACAUAUAUACUAUGCUACAAAAAUAAAAUGAGAUCAAUAAUAAAGUACCAUUAUCAAGGAUUAAAGAUCAUAUGACAUGGACAAUGACAUCCAAGGGAAAAUCCGUUUUCAUUCACAUUCUAUUUAUAGAUACAAGGAGAAGAGGUAUGAGUGCCAAUGAGACAACUCUCCAUCCAUUAUAUCUUUAUAUGGCUGUUUCUUUAAAUUCUUAAAUGUCUAUAUUGAUAUUUUUUUCCUUAUUUAAAUUACAAUACUGGUUGGAGAUUCUGUUCGUCUGUUCAUUUAAUAGACCACUUUCGAGUUCAUCCGUCACCGGAAAGAACUCGUCAAUCAGGAGCGCCUUAGUGACGUCAUUUACCAGAUAGAGGGGGUUGCCUGUAUCCUUACACUAUCAACAUUCAUCAAGCGUCAUAGUGAUCGUCAUUGUGCAGGAUAAACCAGAAAUAAUUUUUGUUAUUCGAACUCGAAAAUUUUUGUUUUUCGAACUCGAAAUUUGUCUAUUGAAUGUUUACAAAAUGCCCAGACUUUCUAGACAAACGAAAUCAGCCAACCUGACUAUAAUUAAAUAAAAGCUAUCAAACAAGAUCAAAGAUGAGACAAAACACAUAUUCCAUUUUGAUCAUGACUAAUGACUGUGCUGUGUACAUUUUAAUAAACUAAUAGAAAAGAUCAGCUCAAAAAUCAUCCUUUUAAUGGUUAGCUUUAAAUCAAAUUGCACUUUAUCCUAUUGCUUUAUCAGCAAUGAUUGUGAUUAUUGAUAUUUAAUUUUUUCAAGGGGCACAAAUCAAAAUGUACAUUCUGAAUAUGAGCAAAAACAAAACUAAAAACAUGAUUUUGCCAUCAAAAGCUAACUGUCAAAGCUAAAUGCAAACUAAAAGAUACUACACUCAAGCUAUAAGCAACAAUAUAUUUACCGAAACUUUGAGGAAGUAUUAUUAAAACAAGCUAUCCUUUUUGGCAAUAGUUUUAUUAAAGACUGCCACUGGGCACAACAACACUAUUAUUAAAGUACAUUCACUUCAAUUUGGUUUUAUUUAGGACAACUCAUCAAAAGUUGAAAAUAUGAAAUUUUACCAUAAUGUUGUUUGAAAACAUAUAAACAUAGCAUCUUUUAAUUUUUAAUAAUUAAUUCUAAUAAUUUUCAAAUUCACAGAAGACAAACACUCUGUACUUGUUAACUAAACCUUA
rnacentral:lncRNA from 1 species